GAUGAACGCUGGCGGCGUGCCUAAUACAUGCAAGUCGAGCGAACGGACGAGACGCUUGCUUCUCUGAUGUUAGCGGCGGACGGGUGAGUAACACGUGGAUAACCUACCUAUAAGACUGGGAUAACUUCGGGAAACCGGAGCUAAUACCGGAUGAUAUUUUGAACCGCAUGGUUCAAAAGUGAAAGACGGUCUUGCUGUCACUUAUAGAUGGAUCCGCGCUGCAUUAGCUAGUUGGUAAGGUAACGGCUUACCAAGGCGACGAUGCAUAGCCGACCUGAGAGGGUGAUCGGCCACACUGGAACUGAGACACGGUCCAGACUCCUACGGGAGGCAGCAGUAGGGAAUCUUCCGCAAUGGGCGAAAGCCUGACGGAGCAACGCCGCGUGAGUGAUGAAGGUCUUCGGAUCGUAAAACUCUGUUAUUAGGGAAGAACAUAUGUGUAAGUAACUGUGCACAUCUUGACGGUACCUAAUCAGAAAGCCACGGCUAACUACGUG
rnacentral:rRNA from 1 species